rnacentral:misc_RNA from 1 species
ACCACAUGCUCUCCUUUAUAAGCAAUACCAAUUGAAGACUCGCCAAACUUUUCUUUUCCUUCCUUCCUUCCCUCUCAACUCUCCACUCUCUACAGCUGCAAUUCUCCUUCUGUCGUCCCUCUCCUCUGCUUCUUCUCUGCUACUAUUACUGGGGGUGAAUUUCAGCCUUACCAAAUUGAAAGAAAUGGGCACCUGUUUCUCUUGUUCAGUCUUCAGUGAAUCUCAGCUUCUUCCCCCUACAGCAAAGGUUGUUUCUGUUAAUGGCAAUCUCGAGGAAUACUAUGUUCCUGUAUUUGUCUCUCAAGUCCUCGACUCUGAAGCUGCAUCAUCCUCGUCUUCAUCAUCGUUCUCAUCUUCUUACUUCCUCUGCAAUUCUGACUUUUUAUCCUAUGAUGAUUACAUUCCGGCCUUGGAUUCCAACGCUCAGCUCUACGCUAAUCAGUUAUACUUUGUUCUUCCUAGAUCUAAACUUCAAAACAGGCUGACCGCUUCUGACAUGGCAGCUUUGGCCGUAAAAGCUAGUGUAGCCAUCCAAAAUGCGUCGAAGAAAGAAGCUCAUCGGCGUAAGAAGGCCAGGAUUUCUCCUGUUUCGUUAGGCAAUCAGUUCCCUUCAUUAGAUGAUGAUGGCCAUGUUAUUAAGUCGUUUGAGAAGCCACAGGCACAGCAGCAAUCACCUGUAGGGCUUUCGAGAUCCGGGUCUGUUAGAAGAUUACGAAAGUAUACUUCCAGACGAGCGAAAUUAGCUGUUCGCUCCUUUAAGCUCAGAUUAAGCACCAUUUACGAAGGGACAGUGCUUUGAGUUUUUUUUAUUUGUUUAAUUUUUUUUUUUUUAAUUUUCUAGUAGAAC